rnacentral:rRNA from 1 species
AUGAGCAUUACUCUAAUAUCACCACCUUCAUAUCUCAAAACAAUCAAAAAGAAUCAAACUUCUCGCAAUAUUCAAUGCACUUUAUGUGAAAGUGAUGCAGAGCAUCCCUCGACUACUCGCACCGACACUCCAUCACCACCGCAAGCUCCAAGUGGACCAAUGACACGAGCACGUGCCUGCGCCAUCGAGAACGAGGUUGACUCUUUCCUCUUCGAGUUUCGCUCGGUUUCACAUGAGAAGUGGAUUCUACCAUCAUCGGAAACAUCGUGCAUGCUUAGGUACCAAGAAGACGAUGGUGAGAAGGAGAGGAUGGACACUCAAGUGACCACCAAGCAAGGAAAGGAAGAGAAGGAAGAAGAGAACAAGAAGGAAGAAGAAGGAGGAGAAGGGGCAAACCCCCUAGACGCACCGGGUGCCCGGCCCCUGCAGCCCCUGGGUGCCCGGGCCCCUGGCCACCUAUAG